rnacentral:rRNA from 1 species
GAUGAACGCUGGCGGCGUGCCUAAUACAUGCAAGUCGAGCGAACGGACGAGAAGCUUGCUUCUCUGAUGUUAGCGGCGGACGGGUGAGUAACACGUGGAUAACCUACCUAUAAGACUGGGAUAACUUCGGGAAACCGGAGCUAAUACCGGAUAAUAUUUUGAACCGCAUGGUUCAAAAGUGAAAGACGGUCUUGCUGUCACUUAUAGAUGGAUCCGCGCUGCAUUAGCUAGUUGGUAAGGUAACGGCUUACCAAGGCAACGAUGCAUAGCCGACCUGAGAGGGUGAUCGGCCACACUGGAGCUGAGACACGGUCCAGACUCCUACGGGAGGCAGCAGUAGGGAAUCUUCCGCAAUGGGCGAAAGCCUGACGGAGCAACGCCGCGUGAGUGAUGAAGGUCUUCGGAUCGUAAAACUCUGUUAUUAGGGAAGAACAUAUGUGUAAGUAACUGUGCACAUCUUGACGGUACCUAAUCAGAAAGCCACGGCUAACUACGCG